UUAGUCGGAAUAGCUAGUUGGUGGGGUAAAGGCCUACCAAGGCGACGAUCUGUAGCGGGUCUGAGAGGAUGAUCCGCCACACUGGGACUGAGACACGGCCCAGACUCCUACGGGAGGCAGCAGUGGGGAAUAUUGGACAAUGGGCGCAAGCCUGAUCCAGCCAUGCCGCGUGUGUGAAGAAGGCCUUAUGGUUGUAAAGCACUUUAAGCGAGGAGGAGGCUACUGAAGUUAAUACCUUCAGAUAGUGGACGUUACUCGCAGAAUAAGCACCGGCUAACUCUGUGCCAGCAGCCGCGGUAAUACAGAGGGUGCAAGCGUUAAUCGGAUUUACUGGGCGUAAAGCGCGCGUAGGCGGCUAAUUAAGUCAAAUGUGAAAUCCCCGAGCUUAACUUGGGAAUUGCAUUCGAUACUGGUUAGCUAGAGUGUGGGAGAGGAUGGUAGAAUUCCAGGUGUAGCGGUGAAAUGCGUAGAGAUCUGGAGGAAUACCGAUGGCGAAGGCAGCCAUCUGGCCUAACACUGACGCUGAGGUGCGAAAGCAUGGGGAGCAAACAGGAUUAGAUACCCUGGUAGUCCAUGCCGUAAACGAUGUCUACUAGCCGUUGGGGCCUUUGAGGCUUUAGUGGCGCAGCUAACGCGAUAAGUAGACCGCCUGGGGAGUACGGUCGCAAGACUAAAACUCAAAUGAAUUGACGGGGGCCCGCACAAGCGGUGGAGCAUGUGGUUUAAUUCGAUGCAACGCGAAGAACCUUACCUGGCCUUGACAUAGUAAGAACUUUCCAGAGAUGGAUUGGUGCCUUCGGGAACUUACAUACAGGUGCUGCAUGGCUGUCGUCAGCUCGUGUCGUGAGAUGUUGGGUUAAGUCCCGCAACGAGCGCAACCCUUUUCCUUAUUUGCCAGCGAGUAAUGUCGGGAACUUUAAGGAUACUGCCAGUGACAAACUGGAGGAAGGCGGGGACGACGUCAAGUCAUCAUGGCCCUUACGGCCAGGGCUACACACGUGCUACAAUGGUCGGUACAAAGGGUUGCUACCUAGCGAUAGGAUGCUAAUCUCAAAAAGCCGAUCGUAGUCCGGAUUGGAGUCUGCAACUCGACUCCAUGAAGUCCGUAUCCCUUGUGCCGAUAGAGAGAGACGGUCCGAGC
rnacentral:rRNA from 1 species